UACAGAGGGGGCAAGCGUUGUCCGGAAUUACUGGGCGUACAGCGCGCGCAGGCGGUUGCCGACGUGCCGUGUGACAAACGGGGGCUCAACCCCCGAGGGCCACGGUAAACGGGGCGACUGGAGGACGGGAGAGGGAUGUGGAAUGCCCGGUGGAGCGGUGAAAUGCGUAGAGAUCGGGCGGAACACCAGUGGCGAAGGCGGCUACCUGGCCCACUCUUGACGCUGAGGCGCGAAAGCUAGGGGAGCAAAUGGG
rnacentral:rRNA from 1 species